rnacentral:rRNA from 1 species
GAUGAACGCUAGCGGCAGGCUUAAUACAUGCAAGUUGAGGGGCAGCAUGAUAUACGCGAGUAUAUUGAUGGCGACCGGCGGACGGGUGAGUAAUAGGUAGGAGACCUACCUCAUACAGGGGGAUAGCAUAGAGAAAUCUGUGGUAAUACCCCAUGAGGUUAUAUGAAUAGAGGCAUAUAAUCAAAGCAUAAGCGAUUAUGCGGUAUGAGAGGGGCCUACUGACCAUUAGCUAGUUGGUGAGGUAAGGGCUCACCAAGGCGAAGAUGGUUAGGGGUUUUGAGAGAGAGACCCCCCACAUUGGAACUGAGAGACGGUCCAGACUCCUACGGGAGGCAGCAGUAGGGAAUAUUGGGCAAUGGGGGAAACCCUGACCCAGUGACGCCGCGUGCAGGAAGGAGCCCUUCGGGGUGUAAACUGCUGUCGUGUAGGGAGAAGGGUACUAAGGUGAACAAUCUUAGUACUUGACGGUACUACAGGAGGAAGCCCAGGCUAACCU